UUUAUAAGAUUUAAAUUAAAGUCUAUGUUGGACUUUAAUUAUUUAUGUGUGUUGGGCUUUGAUUUUAUAUUUGGGCCUUAAGUUUUUUUUUAUUGUUAUUGAGUAGUGAAGAUGAAGCCCAUUGAGCCCAUUAAAUCCAAUCAAUUCAUCGAGCCCAAUUACUUCAUUAAACAUGUAGAUAUUUUCUUGUUUGUGAUUAGGAAAUUUGUGAAAAGAAUUCAUCCACGUAGCUUUCACUAUUCUCAUCUUCCUUGAAAAGCUAAUCCACCUUGACGUCUAUGUGAAGCCAUUUACUUUGACAAGAAAAGUUCUUCCAUUUCACACAAAUAAUUUUCACAAAAAAAGAAACUCAAAUGCAAGAACUGCCGCCCACUGAGAUUCAACCAUACAACAGAAAAUCAAAUCCAACUAUCAGCCACAUUCAAACUCACUCAAGGCUUUGUGGACCAAGGGGAUUAGCACUGCUUUCCCAAGAUGAGUUUAUAUGAUUAUGAUCUUCAGGCUUUGCCUAUCCAGGUUGGCUGGCCGGUGUUGACGGGACUGAGCUGAGGCUAGGGUUCAAUCUCUAUAUAGACUUCCGCUGUAGUAGUAACUCUUAUACACCUUUUGUUUUCUCAACCUAAGAUGACUUCAUGUCGAGCUUCAAUUUAAAAUAUCUAGUUUUAUGUUAAUGAACGUCGGUUGUUAGAAACAUGAAACAAAACUUGUGAUCCAAAGGGGCCUAGCCCGACUCGUUAUCUUAAUAUUCGGGUUUUAACAAGGUUGUUCCUUGUUUAUUUCUAUGAAUUAGUUGCACCUCGAUUAUAUUUAUUCAUUCAAGAAUUGGGGUGUGACAGAAUGGUAUCAGAGCAUGAGUUUCCUUUCAUGUUUCUGAUAACCAUAAGCUUUUUGAUGUUGAGUCUAGAAUAAUAUCUCUAGACUUCUAAGAAUGUCAGUAACCCUCAGCUCACCGUCACACUGCCACAACUAAGGUACGAUAAUAGUUUCAAAAAAAUAUAUAUAUACAUAUAUAUAGAUUUGAAGUUAUGAAAGUUUUUAAGAAAAUGUGCGCCUUAUGAUUAUGAUGCUAUGUGAAUUGCUUAUCGCUUUCCAUAUGUUAUAAGUUAUGAAUUGCUAAUCGCUUUCAUAUUGUUAUCUUGGGUCUCCGACUCAUAUAACCCAGCUAAGUGUCGUGUUUGGGACUACCCGAACCCAUAACGACUCAAUGAAUGUUAUUUCGUGUUUGGGACUACCCGAGCCCUUAACGAAUCAAUGUAUGUAUGGUCGAGUUAGAUUCCUUGAAUCUUUCCGGCACAAGCAAAGUUUUCAUGAAAGGGACUUUAAAUGUCCAUAUAUAUUUAAGGUUUCAAAAGAAACAGAAGUAUGUAUGUAUGAAUGAAUGAGAAAGUUUUAUGUUAUCGUUUUAGGUUCAUGCCUAUACGAAUAGAAUGAUGGGUCCUCUUACAAAUCGUUUGAGUACCACCCAAGAAUGCUUUGAGAAUGUUAGUCGUGAUAGCUUCUCUAGAACGGCAUAGAAUGGAUUUUUAUGGUAUCAAUGACUUAUGAUGAAGUACUUGAUAGUAAGUGCUUUAAGUUAGAAGUUGACUUAGAGCUUUAUAUGAGAUAAGAAGUUGACAUGAUUGGGGGCGAAGCUCCCAUUUGACUGAGUGAUUCGUUGUGCUGGGUCUGGCCAGCCCACACGACUAAGAUCUUGGUGAUUGUCAAUUAAGAUUUUUGAUCUUGAGGUAGAGUGUCAUAUCAAUAUAUAGACUCAUACUAUAUAGUUGUCACAAUAGAAUAUCCUUUUUUCACGAUAAGUAUAGUAGCAAUUAGAAUUACUCAGUUUGUCAUUAGUUUUCACAAUUUGAAAGUUACACUAAGCAUCGAGCUGCCUUUCGACCAUCAACCGGUAGAAACAAAGUGACUUCUAGAAUCCCAAGCAGAUAGCCGGAGCAAAUAGUAUGUAUGACAAAGUUUUCAACCAAUUGUCAAGACAAGCUCCACACAUGGUGGACAAUAAUAAGAAAUGCAUAGAGGAGUUCGUAAAUGAAUCGCGUCAUGAGAUGUUCAAUUCCCCUAGUAAACCAGGGAGUAUUACGAAGGAACAAGCAAUGAGCGAGACUCUCACCACCGAGUCACUACAACAAAUAGAUAAGGAAAACGUUCACGCACAAACAAGAUAUGUACACCACCACAAUGGAAUCUUAGAAACCCACAUUAAAUAAUCAUUGGAAAUGAGGAAAUGAGUUUACAUGGCAGAAGGAGUGCCAUUUAUCUUUGAAGUGAAAGUUACCAAGAUGAUGAGAAAAGUUUGAUGUUAGAAUUCCCUAGUCAAUCUGAGAAGCAGACUUAGGACGAAGGAAACAAUUAAGGAAGUUCAACUGAUUUGAGAGUACAAAGAUAUUUUUUUCCAAUGAAUUACCAAAUUUUCACCAGACUUAGUUUCAUGCAACAUAGUAUGUCACUAUGGGGAACACUAAUUCGAGAUGUCAAAAGAAAAAAAAAUGAUACACUAAGGAUGUGUAUUGAUUAUAAGAAGUUGAAGCAAGCUCAUAAGAAUAGAUACCAUCUCUCAAGGACGGAUGGCUCGUUUGACCCAAUUGAAAGAAGUGAAGUUUCACAAACUCAUCGUGUUAACUGAAGGAAACAAGAGGAACCCUGCCAAGUAGAAAUAAUCGAAAAAUGAGAAGCACCAUUGAAUGCCAAUCAGAUAAAGAAGGAUUCGUGAAUUGCGCACGUAACUGAAAGUUGAGACUAGAUUGAGUUUGAUACAAGUUCAAAAACAAAGUGAUAACAUAAGUAUCUUGGUGAUCAAAGCCACGUGAGUUGAAUAACCCGACUUAUGACUUAGGAAUCGCUGUUAUUGUGCACGCAUCGAGAAUUUGAAAACACUAUCUCUACGGAGCUAAGAGUGAGAUCUUUACCGAUCACAAGAAUUUGAAGUAUUUUCCGAGUAAAAGAAUUUGAGCUCAAGUCAACAAAGAUGACUCGAACUAGUAAAAGUUUUGGAUUGUACCAUCGAACACGACUUAAGAAAGCAAAAGGCGACAACAGACGCCAUGAGUCGAAACUGGCUAAGAUAAAGAUUUUGAGUGCCACACAAGGAUAACUGAUUGGCGACCCUAUCCCAUUCAGCAUAAGAAUUGUUCUUCAUUUGGAGGCAUUAUCAAGUUGUGUAGCUGCACAGAUAACUGACUUUUAAUUUACGAGAAAUAGUUGUGAAGGCACAAGAAGGAAAAUAGAUAUUGGUAAGAAAAUGUAUCUCGCCCCAAGGAUAAGUGGAACAAAAGGAGUGACAAGGUAGAGGAAAUACAUCAAUGUUUAGUGAAAGACUAUGUAUGCUACACAAGAAGGAAAAAGAGCAUGGGAAUGUACCAGAAAUUUUGAGGAAAAUUUUUCUGGAAAGAAAAGAAAUGAAAAGAGAUGUAGCAUCAUUUGUUCAAUGAUGUCUCGCUCUCAGCAAGUUAAGACUGUGUAUGGCAGGAAAUGUCAAUCACCAUUUUACUGAGAUGAAAUGGGUGAAAGAAAGUUUUAGAUUUGAAACUAGCAUCAAGAAUGGCCAAGAAAGUCGACCACAUCAAACAAGGAAUCAAAGAAGCAAGAUGGAUAAAGUCUUAAACCGAUAAACGCUGAUCGAAGUACAAUUCAAUGUUGAGGAUCGAGUUUUCCUCAAGUUUCUCCCCCAUAAUGAGUUAUACGUUUAGAAAGAGAGGUAAAUACAACCCCCACUAUAUAUGACCUUUUGAGAUCCUAGUUAAGUUAGGCCUUGUAGCCUAUAAGCUGGCUUUGCCACCAAGCAUUGUGGAUGUAUACAAUACGUAUUGCAUCUCGCAAUUAAGAAAGUAUAUGUUUGAUCCAAAGCAUAUGAUUAAGCAAGAUGAGUAGUCCUAGCCCAGGGCUCAAGUUAUGAAGAGAAACUAGUCAAAGAUACUUGAUCGCAAGGUUCAAAUUUUACGGAACAAGAAAGUUGUUCUCGUCUUGUAAUGGAACCAUUAUAAUGGAAAAGGCCACGUAAGAAGCGAACGAAACGAAAGUCUAGUAUCCCAAGCUAGAAUACUAAGAUAUGCAAUUCCGAGGACGGAAUUUUUUUUAAGGAGGGAGGGAUGUAAUACCCCGUUCUUUUCCUACUAAGUUUAGAAGAAUAAAUUUUGAACUUAGAAGUCAAGAUGAUUUACGCCGGAUAAAAGAAAAUGAAUAUAUAUUUAAUUCCAACAAGAAUGAUUUACAAAUUUUUUUUAUGAAUAUUUAAGUCAUUUAAAUUCUUGUGCAUUUCAUAUUAAUUUAAAAAUAAGUAUGUGAAAUAUUCUACAUAUAAUUAGUAUUGAUUUUUAUAAGAUUUAAAUUAAAGUCUAUGUUGGACUUUAAUUAUUUAUGUGUGUUGGGCUUUGAUUUUAUAUUUGGGCCUUAAGUUUUUUUUUAUUGUUAUUGAGUAGUGAAGAUGAAGCCCAUUGAGCCCAUUAAAUCCAAUCAAUUCAUCGAGCCCAAUUACUUCAUUAAACAUGUAGAUAUUUUCUUGUUUGUGAUUAGGAAAUUUGUGAAAAGAAUUCAUCCACGUAGCUUUCACUAUUCUCAUCUUCCUUGAAAAGCUAAUCCACCUUGACGUCUAUGUGAAGCCAUUUACUUUGACAAGAAAAGUUCUUCCAUUUCACACAAAUAAUUUUCACAAAAAAAGAAACUCAAAUGCAAGAACUGCCGCCCACUGAGAUUCAACCAUACAACAGAAAAUCAAAUCCAACUAUCAGCCACAUUCAAACUCACUCAAGGCUUUGUGGACCAAGGGGAUUAGCACUGCUUUCCCAAGAUGAGUUUAUAUGAUUAUGAUCUUCAGGCUUUGCCUAUCCAGGUUGGCUGGCCGGUGUUGACGGGACUGAGCUGAGGCUAGGGUUCAAUCUCUAUAUAGACUUCCGCUGUAGUAGUAACUCUUAUACACCUUUUGUUUUCUCAACCUAAGAUGACUUCAUGUCGAGCUUCAAUUUAAAAUAUCUAGUUUUAUGUUAAUGAACGUCGGUUGUUAGAAACAUGAAACAAAACUUGUGAUCCAAAGGGGCCUAGCCCGACUCGUUAUCUUAAUAUUCGGGUUUUAACAAGGUUGUUCCUUGUUUAUUUCUAUGAA